GGCUCGAAUUAUCAUAGGAAAGAACAGGUUAUGCGAUCCUCGGCAAAGGACUGAAAAUCCUUGUGUCGACAGUUCGAUUCUGUCCCGAGCCA
rnacentral:tRNA from 1 species